rnacentral:rRNA from 1 species
CGCGUGAGGAACCUGCCUUUCAGAGGGGGACAACAGUUGGAAACGACUGCUAAUACCGCAUAACGCAUGGGUAUCGCAUGGUAUCUGUGCCAAAGAUUUAUCGCUGAGAGAUGGCCUCGCGUCUGAUUAGCUAGUUGGUGAGGUAACGGCCCACCAAGGCGACGAUCAGUAGCCGGACUGAGAGGUCGGCCGGCCACAUUGGGACUGAGAUACGGCCCAGACUCCUACGGGAGGCAGCAG